rnacentral:rRNA from 1 species
CCCUUAGAUGUCCUGGGCUGCACGCGCGCUACACUGAUGUGUCCAGUAAGCACCUAACCUCUUCCGAAAGGAACGGGUAACCUUUGCAAAGCACAUCGUGAUGGGGGUAGAUUAUUGCAAUUAUUAGUCUUGAACGAGGAAUUCCUAGUAAGCACAAGUCAUCAGCUUGUGUUGAUUACGUCCCUGCCCUUUGUACACACCGCCCGUCGCUCCUACCGAUUGAAUGUUCCGGUGAGCUCUUCGGACUGCGCGGUCUGCAGUUUCUGCGUUCCGUGCGGAAAGUUGCGCAAACCUUAACAUUUAGAGGAAGGAGAAGUCGUAACA